rnacentral:lncRNA from 1 species
ACAGAACGAAAAGCCCCCCGCUGGGGGUGGGGGAAGGCUCAGAAGCUCCAAGGUUUCAUUGACACAGCCUGGAGACCCAGCUCUGUCACUCAACUCUACAUAGCCUUCACCCAGAGCCUGACAGUGUAUAUGAACAAGAGGCUGUGCCUGGUGAGUGCUUCUGCCACUUUCUCCAGGAUGACAGCUGUGGACUCCUGCCACAUCCAACACCCCCUUGCUGCUCCCCACCGCCCUCCUUGGCACCCAGGUGGCUGAUCUCCUAUGGUCUUGCUGGCUUCUCUACCUUGUAUGCUGAGGGCGGGCCCAGCCUGCCCCAGCUCAGGGUCUGCACAUAGUAGGUGCUUGCAUGUUGCCUGCUAAACUGACAGCCCUGUAACCAUGUCAGCACAAAGCAACCAGCAUUUUGGGUGCAUCUGCAGUUAAAAUAAACCACUGAGGUCAUGGGUCUGUUCUCUCUGCAAAAACAAAAAUACCCCACUAGCCAUAUCUGAUGAGAACCAUAGCAAAAGAUCAGAAUGUAAUGGCUUCAUCCAGAAGCAAAGCAUGAGGUUCCAAACCAUGUCCCUGACCUGAAGGGGCACCUGCCCAGGCCCAGGGGUGCCAACUCCUAGAGGCAGCUGGCAUGUGACUACUGUGCCCAGUAGAGAAAGGCAGACACUCAGUCCCCAGAGCCCAGAGCCCCGAGGGAAUUAUGGAACAUCCUCCAUAUUUGAUUCAAAAUAAAAACCACAGUAAACCAUAGACCCAAAACUUAUACGUCGGCUGAAAUUAAAAUAGCUUCUUGCUACGUUUUCUGGUUUCAAUAUUCUGGAUAAACUCAUGGAAGCUGAAUCAGGC